CUCCCAUCAUUCACACUAACAUUUUCCCAGAUAAUGUUAUAUAUCUAGUUCAUAAUUAUGUUAAAAAGUUACAGUUUAAAAGUUUUAAAAAUGUAUUUUUAGAGUGUUCAGUAAAUGUUUCUCCUGUCCGGUCCGUCUUCAGACCUCAGAUGUGUUUUAGAUUUUGGCUCCUUGUGCGUUUGAGUUUGACUCUCCUGCCCCUAGUGGAAUAACGAUGAACUACAGGACAGAAAACGUGGAACAAGUUAAAUAUAAUUGUUUUUAGUGAGUUUUCACCAUGCUAAUGUGAUAGAGGUCUCAGAAAUGUGUGUAUCAAAUAUGACACAAAGGGUUAUAUAGGGUUAAAUGUCCAAAUAUUUUUCACGUUUGACCUCUUCAAGCUCUAUAAAAGCUUCACAUAAAUCCAAGUCCUGCGUGAGGACGACUCAGACGAGCGAGGACUCCGUUAGUGUGACUCAGUGAACUCUUCACACUCCAAUCAGGUCAUUAGUAUGAAAUGAGAGGAGCCCCCCCCCCCGUCUCUGCAGAGGCCUCGUUUCUGAGGGCGUGGAGGCGUGUCCACGCCGGCCGCCGCGUCCUUGCUCUGCAUCUCCUCUGGUGUUGCACUAAACACGCCUGAUUAAGCAGAGUACAUGACGGCCUGAUGCGCCCGAGAAGAUGACACACAAACCCCCAGAGGGAGAUCUGUGUGACCCCCCCUCACAAAGAGGCCACUUAACUCGUUUGAGACUCUAAUUGAAUUAAGAACUGGGAUGGAGGUCAGGCGCCACGGCGUCCAGGAGACGUCUUCACCCACAGUCUGACUUUAAUGUCGUCUGUGUGAUGAGGAGGACGUCCGUCCUCCAGACUUUCAUGGGGGGGGUCAGCAUGGACCCUUCUCACGUGACGUCACACAAAGGCUGAACCUACGUAGUUCGAUAGCUGCUCUGAACAUUUUCACUGAACCAAACCAUUCCUGUUUUCACUAUUAUUCCCGAAAAUAUCCUGCAGAGCAAGUACAUUUAUCCUGGGAAGAGAUUAAAACGUGUUCGCUCUCUGCUGAAGGUUUUAAAUGUGAAAAACAUGAAUUUCUAUCAGUUUUUGUGCUGAUUGAACUUAAAAUACAUGAAAAUAACCAAAAAUAGAACAGUUAGAAUAAUAUUUGCUCAAUGAAAGGUCAAAAUUUUUAAUAAAACAAUAAAAUAUUGAUGGAUAAUUCAAAUUUGUAUUUAGAUUUAUGAACGAUCUAAGAGAGGAAAUAAAAAUACAGUUCAGCAAAACGUUCAUAAAAUAAAUAAUGUACAUUCUUCUGUUGAAAUUCUUAAGAUUACCUUUCAUUAUUUAUGUAAAAUUAUGUCCAACAGCGUUCAGAUGUCAGCUUACUGUUCUCAAUGCAAAUUACAGAAGUAACUUUUCACUUUUUCAGACCCGUCAGCAUUAAAGGUCAAUCCUCCCAUCCAUCCAUCCUCCCAUCCUCCCAUCCAUCCAUCCUCCCAUCCAUCCUCCCAUCCAUCCUCCUAUCCAUCCAUCCAUCCUCCCAUCCAUCCAUCCAUCCUC